rnacentral:rRNA from 1 species
AUUGAACGCUGGCGGCAGGCCUAACACAUGCAAGUCGAGCGGAUGAAGGGAGCUUGCUCCUGGAUUCAGCGGCGGACGGGUGAGUAAUGCCUAGGAAUCUGCCUGGUAGUGGGGGAUAACGUCCGGAAACGGGCGCUAAUACCGCAUACGUCCUGAGGGAGAAAGUGGGGGAUCUUCGGACCUCACGCUAUCAGAUGAGCCUAGGUCGGAUUAGCUAGUUGGUGGGGUAAAGGCCUACCAAGGCGACGAUCCGUAACUGGUCUGAGAGGAUGAUCAGUCACACUGGAACUGAGACACGGUCCAGACUCCUACGGGAGGCAGCAGUGGGGAAUAUUGGACAAUGGGCGCAAGCCUGAUCCAGCCAUGCCGCGUGUGUGAAGAAGGUCUUCGGGUUGUAAAGCCCUUUUAGUUGGGAGGAAGAGCAGUAAGUUAAUACCUCGCUGUUUUGACGUUACCAACAGAAUAAGCACCGGCUAACUUCGUG